rnacentral:lncRNA from 1 species
CUCCUCCAGGUUGGAUUUAACCACCAGCUGGCUAAAGCCAAAGACCCAACAGAGCUUGUUAGGACAAUAGUGCUGGCUGAGCAGAGUGUGUUGCAUACAGACCUCCAUUCUGAAGUUGAGGAUAUUUAAAGGGCCAGGCAGCCCAUCAGCCAUAUCGAUGGGCUCCCGGUUCCUAUUAACAUGCAGACUGGUCAUUGUCGGGCUACUCAGAUAAAUGAUCUUCAGCUCAGCGGCUGACAAAGCUCUAUGCAAACCGGUCCCCAGAAGAGGAAAACCGUUGUCAGUGACACCCUGAGGCUACGAGGCAUUUUUGACCUAGCCAGAGCCACUGGAGGAGGAUGGAAUUCCCUCCCCAUGGGAGGGUUCUGCAGGAAUCCAAGUCUCUCAGCCUAAAGAGCAGGAAUCAAGACCCAUCUGUUUUCCCCAGGCCUCUCUUUGGUGGGGAAGCAUAUGUUCCUUGAGGGCACUUAGGGAGAACAAUGCUCCUUGCUAUUCCUUUGAGUUCCAGAGGUCACGAAUCCGGGAAGCCGACUGCAACAGAUUUCCUUCACGUUGCUUGCUUGUUUUUUUCCAAAUGGACUCGGUGCAACAUUCCUGGAUAAGAAGCAGCCAGGGAUUUGGGCCUAUGGAAUUUUAAUGGCCAGUAUUUAUAGCUGCAAUAUUCUCAGUUUGCGGCCCGCCACUAGAAGCACCAUCAAAAUCCUUGGGUCAGAAAAUGAUCCUCAUUGUCAUAAUGUAUAAGCAGUUGUGAAACACCGAUAAACCUGGGAGGCUGCAUUCAGUCCUGUAGAAAAGACACAUUAGCCAGAUUUCUGGACCCCU